UAUCCAAACUGAAGUACAAAGUGAGUAAGUUUGGUCAAAUAAGCCCAUUGAGACUGUUUGUUCCAUUCCUAAAUGAAUUUCUUUCAUGUUGUCAAUCAUUUCUGAUAUGGCUUUGAUAAUAAUAUUAUUUUCUAAUGAAACUGCUGACUUGUAUCAGUCUUUGGUCUGAAUUGUGCAUCUAUUCACACAUUUUGUUUGUUCUUUUAAGCAAACAUUACAUUAAUCACAAAUUCUAUAAGCAAUUAAACAAAACUUACUUCACAUAGGAUGCAGAAUGAUGUUUUAUUUAGUGUGCAUAUGAUUUUCAGCUUAUGGACAAGAAAACAUCUACUUCAACAAUCACAGCAACACAAUGAGAUCCCAAUUUUAAAGAAAUAAUGCCACCUUUCAUUAAAUCAUUAAUUCAUUCUAUCAAUCAUUCAUAUAUAUUCAUUAAUUAAUACAUUUAUUCUGAUAAUUCAGUUUAUUCAUUGGAAAACUUGACAUUUCUCAAGGCAAAAGAAAUAAAAAAUGAGCAGCUUUCAUAAAGAAUAGAGCCUUUUCCCUUCAUGCAUUAAAAACACAACCUUAAUACAUUAUAAAUGUUUUAAAAACCCUAAUUUUGUGCUUAUUUUAAUAGCUAGCCUGGUUGCUGUAGCCACAGAGGAAUUUUCAAGGACAAGAACCAGUGCUAGUUAAACUGUGUUCUCGUGUGGUUUUCCAUACCGGCUCUCGGCAAGGAUUUUCAAGAAAGGAAUAUCAUCUCCAAAUCAUGAUGUGCCAAUAAGCUGCAGUUAGCUGUGGCCUUUUCCCCAGGCGGUAGUCCUGCAAUCUGAAUCCAGGAGAUGCAGCUCUGAAUCCAAUAUUUCAGAAGAAUGAAGAUGAAGCAGACCCAGAAGGAACUGUUGAAGAACAAGCCAGACAGCCCCCCCCCCCCCCAAGCUGCCCAUCAGGCUGAGCUGUACUUGGUGUUUGCCAACAUGCUGUAAUUUCUAGCCUGGUUGCUGUAGCCACAGAGGAAUUUUCAAGGACAAGAACCAGUGCUAGUUAAACUGUGUUCUCGUGUGGUUUUCCAUACUGCCUCUCUGCAAGGAUUUUCAAGAAAGGAAUAUCAUCUCCAAAUCAUGAUGUGCCAAUAAGCUGCAGUUAGCUGUGGCCUUUUUCCCCAGGCGGUAGUCCUGCAAUCUGAAUCCAGGAGAUGCAGCUUUGAAUCCAAUAUUUCAGAAGAAUGAAGAUGAAGCAGACCCAGAAGGAACUGUUGAAGAACAAGCCAGACAGCCCCCCCCCCCCAGCUGCCCAUCAGGCUGAGCUGUACUUGGUGUUUGCCAACAUGCUGUAAUUUCUAGCCUGGUUGCUGUAGCCACAGAGGAAUUUUUAUGGACAAGAACCAGUGCUAGUUAAACUGUGUUCUCGUGUGGUUUUCCAUACUGGCUCUCUGCAAGGAUUUUCAAGAAAGGAAUAUCAUCUCCAAAUCAUGAUGUGCCAAUAAGCUGCAGUUAGCUGUGGCCUUUUUCCCCAGGCGGUAGUCCUGCAAUCUGAAUCCAGGAGAUGCAGCUCUGAAUCCAAUAUUUCAGAAGAAUGAAGAUGUUAGUCAACUCUGUAGUACUUGUUUGUGUGUAAAUGAUUCCAAUGAGUGAGAUUUAUAGCAAAUCAGGUGUAAAUAAGCAUCUUAUAGACAAUGGUGAAGUGCUGUACUCUGAAUUUAAUGCCAAAUCUAGCCUUCAAAACAGAUUCUUAAAGUAUUUUUUUUAUUUUUAAAAAUGGGCAUAAUAAUGCUAUCUCUGCAUUUUCUACAUCAUGUAGCCACCUCAUACAUGAAAACACUAGCAGUUGUCAUGAAUCUUUAAGUUUUGGUGUGUUUUUUGCCAUUUUCUUUGUUGCUCCAUUUGUCCUGGAAGCCAACAAUUUGGCAUAUAGUGUUGUUUAGACUGUCUAUUAACACAUGAUCACUAAAUUUCUUGUGUUAAACUGAACAGUUCUGUUACCUAAAUGUAUAUAACUGGACCAGAAAAGCAAAAUUUUGACAAGUUGAGGCAUUUCAGUUUGGCUCUUUGUCAUUUUUUAUAUAAAACACUAAGCCGAUGAAGUGGAAAAACCUUAUUUUGCUUAGAAAAAAAUCUUAAAAGAGUAGGUAGGCCAUUUUUGUGGUGCUGUUCUAUUGACACCGUUGAAAGCUACAAGGAAAACUUUACUUGGUCAAAUGAUUCCAAUACAUAAGGAAAUAAUGGCUCUUCAAAGGUUUGCGGCUUAACAUUUGAGGGAAAUGGCUGUUUCUGCUUUUUAUGAAAAUACCACAGGUGCUAAUACUUGUCUGAUUCAUUGAGUGUUUGAUAUAUCAUUGCCAAACUUUCAGUAUGUGUUGCAUAUAGCCUGCAGCUGAACAUUAGGAGUUUUGAAGUCUGUUUCUGAAAAAAUGUUGCUUAAAUAGGCUCAAGACCACAGUUAUCUGCCCCCCGUUGACCAAGAUCCGGAUGUUAAUACAGAAAAAAGAGUGCUUGUAUUCAAGUAUCAAUAUUUUAUUAAAAUUGAAUGAAAAAGAAGCAAAAAAUGUUCUUUUUGCAGAGAACUUGACUGAAUUUGACACUCUAUUGCAGAAAUUGAUAGUUUUCAGUGUAAAUAUUGAAAAAAUCAUAGCUUGUGGAAGUCUGAAAAUUAGUUGUUUAUAGCCGAUUGACUCCUUGGCGGAAGGGUUCUGUAUUUGAACUCAAUUUUGACAGUCGGGUCAAUGGUCAACAUGGUGUUUUCUUGUGAUUAUAUUUUGUGUCUUGAAUUGUUCUAGAGAUGCCAUGUCCUUGUUUUCCAAUUUGGAUGUGCAUAAAGUCAAAAGCCAGGUUAGUGUCUAUAUGAAACAUAACUGUGGUCUCACGCCAUUAACGUUAGAUACCAAACCGCCAAUCGGAACACCUCGGCUAGUAUCAAACAGAUAUGACCUCGAAAAUAAUACGGGUUAUUAUAAAAUAGUCCAAAAAGUCCCCUAAUGAGAAACUAAGUGGAAAUGUCAUUUAUUUUUAGUGGGUGGGGUUAAGUCUGCUUCCAAUUGACUCUUUCUGAGAUAGUGACUGUGAUCAGUGGCAAAAAUUAAGAACACGAAUACUUCAUUUUAUUUCUUUGAAAUAUAAAUAAGUCUGAAUCUGACUUUACUAAGAUUGAGAAAAAGGUUAGACUUUCUUAACUCACUGUAUUUACAAACUCAUUUUUUAUAACUAAAAUUUACAUUUCUUUAACCAGGGACGUUUGGUUUAUAUGUACGUGCUAAAACAUACCUCUUCUCCAAAUAUAAUCUUUGACUGUCAGUGACAUAUUUAAAUAUAUGUAUUCAUCAAUAUUGUAGUGUGGGUGUUGGUAACAAUCAGCUCAAUGAAAUGGCACAUAAUUGGAUGCCUGUUCACUAAUAUAGCUCUCUAAAUAAAUUAGAUCAUCAUGCUAGUCGUCGGCAUUUACUUAACAUUAUAAGGUAUGGCAAAACCCGCUAAAACUACGGUUUUGGACGCACUUUGCGACUUUAGAAACCGGUGACUGAAUAACGUCCCAGCAACACCGAAAAUUGCGCCACGUAGGUAUUAGCAAACCGUAUACAGGCAAAUUGGUCCCAACUUCCGCACGUGCAGAGAUGCUUAGCUAUCUUCGACACGAGGUACCUCAUUUUACAGAAUUUUAGCGCCAUUUUGAUCGUAAACGAGAAAGUUGCACGCGUUAGGAAACGUUGACGCCGGCACGUCAGAGAUGCGCCGACGGUCGCGCCACGUAGGGAAUAAAAAUACCUUAACUGCAAAACCGGUCCCGACCGCCCCGCAAGUGUGGUUCCGGAGUAAUCGUCGGCAUUAACUUUACAUUAUAAGGUAUUGAAAAAAAGCUGAAAAACACCGGUUUUGGACGCACUUUGCGGCCUUAGAAACCGGUAACCGAAUAACGUCCCAGGCAUACCACAAAUUGCGCCACAUAGGUAUAAGCAAACCCCAUACAGCAAAAUUGUUCUUUACUUUCGCACGUGCAGAGAUGCUUAGCUAUCUUCGACACGAGGUGACUCAUUUUGUGGUAUUUUCGGACCAUUUUGAUCGUAAACGAGAAAGUUGCAUGCGUUAGGAAACGUUGACCCCGGCAUGUGUUAAAUGCGCCGACGGUCGCGCCACGUAGGGAUUGGAGAUACCUUAACGGCAAUACCGAUGCCGACCGGCCCGCUUGAGUGAUUCCGGAGAAAUCGUCGGCAUUAACUUUACAUUAUAAGGUAUGGCAAAAACCGCUGAAAAACUACGGUUUUGGACGCUCUUUGCGGCCUUAGAAACCGGUGACCGAAACACGUCCCAGGCACACCGAAACUUGCGCCACGUAGGUAUUUGCAAACCCUACACAGGCAAAGUGGUCCCAAUACUUAUGUGAUAAACAACAGAAACAUGCUCAGUAGAAAAACGUUUUAAUAUAAACCUGGUUUAACUUCGGCACGUGCAGGGGUGCUAAGCCAUCUUCGACACGAGGUACCCCAUUUUACGGCAUUUUUGCGCCAUUUUGAUUGUAAGCGCGAAAGUUGCGCGCGUUAGGAAACGUUGACGCCUGCACACCAGAGAAGCGCCGACUGUCGCCACACGUAGGGAACGUAGAUACGUCAAUAGCAAUACCGGUGUCGACCGCGCCGCAUUUGUGGUUCCGGGGAUAUCGUAGGUAUUAACUUUACAUUUUAACCCUAAAAGAACGAAUAUUUCCCGGUACAAAGCCACGCCCAAUUCUCCGCUAUUUUCGGCGCGAAAAAAAGCGACCUCAUUCACUCGGUAUUGCGGGGCCACCUGGAAGUUAAAACACGACCCAUAUCCCCCGCUAUCCCCGGUAUACACCCGGACCGGAGGGGUGGGGGGUGAGGCGUGGUUACAAUUGACUGGUGUAUUAUUUCAGUGUUAUUUGUAGAAAAUGUUAAUAUGUGCUGAAAUUCAUAUAUUUAUUUCUUUGAGGAUUUGUUUUGGUACCUCUUUGAUUUAGUAUUCAAUGUUCCAUAUUUAGUAAAAACUAUGAUUUUGCUUAAGUUAUAUUUAUUUCUCAAGUCAUAAUUAUUACCGUACAUCUGCAUGUUCUGACUGGCAGAUAUUUUACUGUAUUUAUAAAUAUAAAUAUAUGUUCAGUUAAUAGUAUAAGGGAGAAUACUCAAAUAGUCUGUCUACAUUCACCGUGCAGUAUCAGCCCUUGUAUUAUUUAGUAAGGUUAUCGUAUAAAAUUUCAUCUAAAAUUAUUUUUAAAAAUCUAACUUGAAUUGUUCACAUAACUUUGUAGUUUGAAUACACAUUUAGAUGUUUUAGUUAAUUAAAAACAUUAAGUCUUUCAGUUUAAGGAAUCAGGAAUCUUCAUAAUUUCUAUAAGUGUUUUUUGUUAAAAUAGUUUUUUUAAAUCUCGGAGUCAUUUUAACCUGCUGUAUGUAGACAGGUGUAUUAUUUCUCCCCUACUUUUAAAUUGCAGUAGUAUUUACAUUUAUACUUGUCAAUUGACAACUGUCAGUCACAUGAUAACUGUCAAAGUCACAUGACUUCAUGGUACUAUGGGAUAUUUUUGUUUAUUUGAGUUUAUCAAGGUCUGCCCGCGCCCAUUGGCUGCAUUAUGGCUUGACCCCGCCGUGACGCCAUCACGACUUAAAUUGUGUUUAAAUGCCAUAAGUGACAUGAGAUAGAAGUGACAGCAAUUUGCACCACCUAAAAUGACAAACCCUCUUAACCCUCAAAUCUUAACGGAGCACACACCGAAUGGGCAAGGCCCGAGUGCGAGUAUAAAUAAGCUUACAAACACACGCACUUUUCAAUUUCUACACCCCUUUCUGAUAUUUUACGCUCUUCUCGACGCAAGUUGAUUAAUGAAGCAGUGUCCGAUUUCUGAAUAUAUUUCAAUCAUUAAACAAAAGUUUGUUAUACAAUUUGAUUAAGAUAAAGCAACAACGGCGUACCUGGUAAGCACAAUUACAUUACAUGAGUAUAUCAUUACUUUAACAAAUAACGAUUUAUUUCAAAUUGAAAGAUUUGAGAUUUGUCUUUCCACGUGCAUGUCACGUGCACCAUUUUAUGCCACAUGUUAAUACUAUGUAAUCUUGUAUUGCUUGAAUUGUUUAUUAUAAUUGCAUUUUGUAGUAUUGCAGGUUUUUAAGUUGUGUUUUUGUAAUAAA